CCGACACUGCAGCUGUCCGUUCUUGCCAGAGUCCCGGUCAGUGACCCGCACCAGGGCGAUGACGGUGCCGGGAGGGGCGGCCUCGCUCAGCGCCCCCUGGCGCACGGAGACGAAACCGAUGGACGGCGCAUUGUCGUUGCGGUCGAUGAGCUUGACCGUGACUUUGCAGUGGGCUGGGAUAGGGUUAGGCCCCAGGUCUCGGGCCUGCACGUCAAUCUCCAGCAUCCCGUUUUCCUCAUAGUCCAGAUUGCCCUUCACACGGAUUAGGCCGGUCUUGGGGUCGAUGGAGAAGAGCUCCCGCACGCGGUCAGGCACGUAGCUGCUGAAAGAGUAGAGCACUUCACCAUUGGGACCUUCAUCGGCGUCGGUGGCGUUCAGAUCGAUGACCACUGUACCCAGCGGAGCGUUCUCGGGCAGUUCCACCAAGUAGGAUGGCGCCUCGAAGACCGGGCUGUUGUCGUUGGAGUCAAUCACCUUCACGUUGAUCUGUACGGUGGCGGAACGUGGAGGCUCGCCACCGUCCAGGGCAGUCAGCACGAGCGUAUGGUGAUUCUGUUGCUCGCGGUCCAGAGCCUUCUGGAUGACCAGUUCUGGGAACUUGGUGCCGUCGCCGCGGGACUUAACGUCCAGUCCAAAGAGGCCGUGAUCGUCGCGCGUGAGCAGAUCUCCUUGUCGUUGGCGAACACCUCGAGGGACAGCUGGCACUUGGCAUUGUGGCGGCACAGGGACUCGCGGUCGAUGCGCUGCUUGGUGUAGAGGAGCCCGCUGUCUGCGUCCACGUCCAGCAGGUGCGGUGCGGAGUUCUCCAGCACCCGGUAGCUACCCGACUUGCUGCGCCCUCCGCCGCCGCGCUCUGCAGGCGGAAGCCCAGGCUGCAGUCGAGCAUCCCUGCCGAUGUUCCCGAUCACCGUGCCGGCCCCUUGCUCCUCCGGCACGGAGUAGUUGAGGUUCUUGAGAGUGAGGGCAGGGGCCCAUAGAAGAAAGCAGCAACAGAUGGAAAGGUACAUCCCAGACCUGUAAGGUG
rnacentral:lncRNA from 1 species